GCAAAAUCAGAAAAUGCCGAUUGAGUCUUAGCAGGAGAGAACUGGCUGAUGUGGAAUGGAAGUGAACAAUCAAAGGAUUGAUCGAAAGUAAACGUAGCUGCCUGACUUUGGAAUAUUGAAAUUACGUGGGAGCCUGCUCAUUUCGGAAAACACAGCCUGGUGUCCAAGAGGUCUGUCAUCAUAGGAGCUAUAUCUUUUCACAUGUAUUCGACGCACACGAUCUCUAACUUCCAAUGCCUCUUCAUCUUCACUGUGUGAUCCCUGACCAGAGGUUCGACUAGUAGCUUCCAAUAACAAAUUAUCAGGAAACUCUGUACAAAGGAGGCUUUCAGCUUGAUUUCUUGUCCUGGAGUCGAACCCAGGUUUCAGAGGUGAAAGGAAAGUGCUGACUGCUUUGAAAUACCUAGAUCCUAUGAAUGUAUCUGUAUCAUCUUCAAAUCCCAAGACAAGGUGAUGACUGAAACUUUGUCGCCAAGUCUUAUAAUGCUGCUGGCUAGGCCAGUCACCUGGAAUGUGUCCAAGAAUGUCCCCAGGAUAAUUUGCUGCUAUCUAUGUUUUCUCUUUCUCCUUCCUUUUUCUAGGAUUAUAGCAGAAUGCCAACUCAAUGCAAAGUCAUCCUUUCAUCUCCAUCCUGCACAAAAUAAAGGACUUGCCAAAUUCAGAUGGCAUUUCAGGGUACCACUGGAUAUAACUUUGGAUCAGGAGAUCAGACACAAAGUCAAGUAUUACUAAAGGAAUCUUACUAAUAUCAGUUCGUUUAUAUAGUGGUCACCUUGUACGUACCUUAGUUUGCUUCUUUUCUGUUGCAUACACAAUGGAAGUACAGCAAACCUCUGCAAGUUUGCGUCCCUGCCCAUAAAAUGACCAGCAGCAAAUCUCAUCUCCUAAAACGUCCUUCAUAAACAGCACUCUUCCAUUAAAUCGCAGGGAUAACUUGUCGAACAGCUCGAUGUUCUUCAACAAAUUGUCAUCAGAAUUGCUGGGACACAGAAUGACUUGGAUUAAAUAGCAUUCGCUAGCAAUUGUACAAGAACACUGGUGCAGUUGUAUGAAGCAUUUUGUUACAGUAGGCAUUUCAACAUCUUCAAAGGUUUGAUUUGACAGUACUAUACUUAAUUUAUGAUAACCCAAGCAAGUCUAUUUUAGCAGCUGUUUCAUACAUAAUGCAAAACAUCAUUGCUUAUGAAUCAGUUUAAGUUUUGAAAUUUGGUUUUGUUCAAAUUAGGGAAUGAAGAAAAUGCAUAAAUUCACCAAGUCCAUGAUCAUAAUCUACAUAAACUUUUGUGCAUGUAGGUUUGAGACUUUUGCAAACAUAGCUGAAUGCUGGACAUGUUCUAAUACAACAGGAGGCUGUGCAAGAUUUUUAUUUUUAUUCUUGUGGGUUGCUCAGAGGCAUUCCAUAGAGCCCCUUGAGACCCAUAUAAAGUUUUAAAAUCAAAUUUCAAUCAGCUUGGAUGCAUCUCAAACUGUGAAUAUGAACAGAUCAGUUCUGAUUUAGGAUUUACUUACCAAUAAGGCAACAGCAUUAACAACAGUCCUUCUCAAACCUGUAAGCCCAUAAGAUUCAAACAGAAAAGAACAAAAAACCCCAUAAAUUAUUAGGGCUACAUGUUUCACAUUGCCUAAAGACCAUCAGUUGGACAUCCAGCAACUAAAGGGAAUGACUUAUUUCAUCCAAUUUGCAGUUCUUUCACCCAAGAAAAAUGGAUUAGGGAAAAGACCGUGACUAUUGUGCAGUUCUUUGCAAUUGUGCAUGUUCUGGUGCCUUUUAUCAAGUCAAAUUUAAGUUCACACUUUUUUUAAUAUUUGCAUCCACAUUGGAGAACAGUUACCAAAUAUUUAGCUCUGGAACCAAAUAUCAAAACCCACUGCCAUGUGGCUUAAACUAUUGGUGAAGCACAUUACUGGUAUUCACUGGACAGUAGGGUACCAGAGAAACACGGAGGAAAAACUGUUCUGCUCCCUUUCUAAAUUAUUAGAACUUUUCAAGCAAUGUAAUUCUUGAUGAACAGAUUAAACCUUAUGCCUUGGACAGAAUGUCCUUGCUGGUCCCAAUUGUCCCCGAAGAUCUUGCUUGACUUUUCACUAUUCAUCCUGAAAACUGCACUCAUGUGACAGAUAUGAUUCAAAGCAAUAUUUUUUUAAAAACGUCUCCAAAAGCUGAUGAAUCAACAUAAAUUAACAUGGUGUAGCCCAAUGCAAAUUAUCAUACCUAGUAUAGGAAUAUUUGUUAUUGCUUCUGUUAUGUAGCAGCUUCACAACAGGCUGUUGGUAAAGAAUAAAGGCAGUUAGCUUUUACUGAAAUAUAUGGAGAAUUAAGUGACAAAUCUAAGAAAAGAUCCUCCAUUACAAAAAAAAGACAAAAAUCUUGUGACCUUUGUACAUGUUUCAAUUAGUUGUUCUUCCUCCUUAGGAGAGGUGAUCAUGGGAAUUGUACAUGCAACUUCACAGCAUUCAUUCUUUUCCUAAAGAAAAUCAAAUUACAAAUGCAGAGGAUGAAAGAAGUCACUAGUGAUAUACUCAAUGUAUUUCUUCACACAACUGUAUUUUAGAAACAGCAAAAGAGAAUGACAUGCAAUUGCCGUGGACAUCACAACUUCACUCAAGGAUUAAGAGACUGAAAAGGAAAUUAAUAAUAGAACAUAAAUACAAAAAAUGGAUUGUGAAGCUUCUGCAGAUACAUAAAAAUAAGAUGUCCGCCGAAGAUGAAUGUGGGUUCCAUUAAAUCAGAGUUGCUGAAUUUUUAUUGGGAAUAAAGAAGGCAGAGUCUGGAUCACUACUACUUAUGUAUUUUCAGUGGGGAAGAUAAAAGAAUCUCCCAGGAUUAAAGAUCAAAGUAACUAGGGAGAAUGAGGAGCUGAUGGAAAUUAAUACAAGUACGAGAGCUGUACUGGAAUUAAUGGGCUGACAGCUGAUAUGUCGUCAGGACUUGACAGUGUACAUCCCAGCAUUAACAAAAAUGGCUACAGAGACAGUAAUCAAUUUCCAGAAUUCCAGAUCCUAGAAUGGUUCCUGCAGAGUGGAAGCUUGCAAAUGCCACCUUGCUAUUUGAGAAAGGAGAAAGGGAAAAUAUGGAACCAGUCAGCCUUGCAUCAUUAGUAAGGCAAACACAAGAAUCGAUCAUAAAGUUUGCUUAAAUUGAAAAAUCUGUUUGGGUAUAGUCAGAAUGGAUUGGCUAAUCGAAAGUAGUAUUUGACAAACUUGUUAUUUUUGAAAAUUUUGCUAAUAAAAUUGACAAAGUGCAGUCAAUGGAUGUUGUAUAUUUGGAUGUUUGGAAAAUUUAUGAUAAGGUCCCUCACAGGAGGUUAGUUAACAAAAUUAAAACACAUGGUACUGGAGAUAAUGUAAUAGCGUGGAUUAAGGAUUGGCUAACAGACA